GUUUAUUCAAAUUGAGAACACAAUUCAGAGUACCAUUCAGAGUAAAUCGCAUGUAAACCACUUUUCACUAGACUGUGGAAACUAAUUUAUUUUUUAUACUAGUCUUUACUAAGGAAUAUGGACGUGGCAGGACACAGACUGUAUAUAUGAGACAGCAAACAAUUAUACAAAGAUAAGCUGAUUUGAGUAAUUGUGUUGGCUGUAUAAAAUUAGAUAUUUUGAAAGAGGGGGAAAAAACCAUAUUGGGGAGGUAUUUCCUCUUUAACAGUAAUUUGAUUAGUGUAGAGAAUUAC